GACGAACGCUGGCGGCGUGCUUAACACAUGCAAGUCGAACGGACAGGCCCUGCUUUUGCGGGUUGCUCGAGUGGCGAACGGGGGAGUAAAACGUGAGUAACAUGCCCUUGACUUAGGGAUAUAUCCAGGAAAAUGGGGCUCAUACCGGAUAGGAGCUCUUGCUGCAUGGUGGGGGUUGGAAAGUUUCGGCGGUUGGGGAUGGACUCGAGGCUUAUCAGCUUGUUGGUGGGGUAGUGGCUUACCAAGGUUUUGACGGGUAGCCGGCCUGAGAGGGUGACCAGCCACAUUGGGACUGAGAUACGGCCCAGACUCCUACGGGAGGCAGCAGGGGGGAAUAUUGCACAAUGGGCGGAAGCCUGAUGCAGCAACGCCGCGUGCGGGAUGACGGCUUUCGGGGUGUAAACCGCUUUCGCCUGUGACGAAGCGUGAGUGACGGUAAUGGGUAAAGAAGCACCGGCUAACUACGUG
rnacentral:rRNA from 1 species